AUUGAACGCUAGCGGGAUGCCUAACACAUGCAAGUCGAACGAGAGGCGGACGGGUGAGUAAUGCAUGGGCACCUUACCGAUGGAGGGGUAUACCUAAGGGAAACUAUAGCUAAUACCGCCUACCAUCGGCUGUGCCCAAGUGGGAUUAGGUAGUUGGUGGGGUAACGGCUCACCAAGGCGACGAUCCGUAGCUGGUCUGAGAGGAUGACCAGCCACACUGGGACUGAGACACGGCCCAGACUCCUACGGGAGGCAGCAGUGGGGAAUAUUGGACAAUGGGGGAAACCCUGAUGCAGCCAUGCCGCGUGAACGAUGAAGGCCUUCGGGUUGUAAAGUACUUUCGGCAGGAAAGCGGUACCUGCAGAAGAAGCACCGGCUAACUCCGUGCCAGCAGCCGCGGUAAUAC
rnacentral:rRNA from 1 species